rnacentral:rRNA from 1 species
GAUGAACGCUGGCGGCGUGCCUAAUACAUGCAAGUCGAGCGAACGGACGAGAAGCUUGCUUCUCUGAUGUUAGCGGCGGACGGGUGAGUAACACGUGGAUAACCUACCUAUAAGACUGGGAUAACUUCGGGAAACCGUAGCUUAUACCGGAUAAUAUUUUGAACCGCAUGGUUCAAAAGUGAAAGACGGUCUUGCUGUCACUUAUAGAUGGAUCCGCGCUGCAUUAGCUAGUUGGUAAGGUAACGGCUUACCAAGGCAACGAUGCAUAGCCGACCUGAGAGGGUGAUCGGCCACACUGGAACGGAGACACGGUCCAGACUCCUACGGGAGGCAGCAGUAGGGAAUCUUCCGCAAUGGGCGAAAGCCUGACGGAGCAACGCCGCGUGAGUGAUGAAGGUCUUCGGAUCGUAAAACUCUGUUAUUAGGGAAGAACAUAUGUGUAAGUAACUGUGCACAUCUUGACGGUACCUAAUCAGAAAGCCACGGCUAACUACGUG